AUAACACUUAAUUAAUUGGGAAUUAGUUGGACUAUUGGACCUAUUAAUUGGAGUAGGAUUGACUUCCUUAGUAAGACACCUCUUUGGCUUAUAAGAGAAGCCAACUCUUUGGCUUACAAGGUAAGCCAAUUCUUUUGGCCUAUAAGUAAGAGUUCUUGGUCUUACUAGAAGAAGCUUUUGCUUGCAAAACACUAAGAGAGCACUAUAGUUUCAAUCGAAGAUUUCCUAGCUGUCGAAGAUUGAAUCGUGCACUUGGAAUUGUUCCUGCAUCGAAUCGACAUACACGUGGAUACCUUAGUAGUGGAUUCACGACAAGAAUCGAGACGCACGCUUACCACACAACGAAUGAUGUCAAGGACAACCAACAAUAAGAGCAACUGAAACGCAAGCAAAUACGAAAAUGGAAGUGAUGUCCUCUCUCUUCUCUCGCUUGUCUCUUCCGAACCCUUCCCGUUAAUUUAUGGAAGGGUUCGGAAGAGACAAGGGGAGAGAUGAGAGAGGCAGAGGAGGAUCUGUAGCGACGAAAACGAGCUAAUGGCUCAGCUAGAGGCAACGAUGCAACGUAUUCUUGUCAUCGGCAUGGCUACGGCGACGGUGGCUUCGCCAUCAUUGGCGGUGGUGCUCAAGAAAUAUAAAUAUGGACGGAUGAG